rnacentral:tRNA from 1 species
GUUGGCCUAGUGGUCAAGGCCUGGGACUUAGGCUCCUGAGGUCUUAGGUUCGAAACCUCCUAGGUGCUAUCA